rnacentral:tRNA from 1 species
GGAGAGGUGACCGAGCGGCCGAAGGUGAUCGCCUGCUAAGCGAUUAGGGGGCGUUGAGCCUCCUCGAGGGUUCAAAUCCCUCCCUCUCCG